CUUCCUUACAAAAAACUUUUUCAGGGCUGCCAGACAAGGUCCACACCAAUUCCUUCAAUCAAACAGUAUUUGCAGAACUCAUAAAAGCAUGCUAGCCUUUGUACACACACAUCCCUGAAAGCCACACUGCACUCUGUCCGCAGAAACAGGGAGGUUCAACAAGUCAGCUACCACAAUAAAGUUACUAAAGAUACGAGGUGCACCAUGAAAUGACUAUUCAGACAGCUCAGAUAAACUCACCAACAUUACUGCAGCUAUAAGGGAAUUAAGGACACCUAUUAGUGAUUGCUUAACAAGUAAACUUAUUAAAUACCAUUUAAGUCACUUUACUUAGCAACUAUUGACUUUUUUUUUUUUUUGGCUAGGCUAAUGGACUACAAAAGAGUUAGAUAAGCACUUCAAAAAGUUUCAGAAGAGAAUAGAUUCCUUCUGCCAAAUUCACAUAUUAUCUCUCUACUCACAAGGAUAAAAUAGUUACAAAUGGUGUUUAAACUGCUAAUUUUGUAUUAAAUGGUGAACCCAAGAUUAUCUCCAAAGCAUAACACUCCUCAUAAUGGAUAGCUCGCUCACCAGACAAACUACUGUUGAGAAAGAGUGACACGUUAAAACAUUGCAGAUAAAAACUGCAAACUUCAAAAGUCUCCUUCAAAAAGUCAAGUGCCACGCUAGAGCGUCUUUUUUUUUUUUUUUUUUUUUUUUAGAAGGCUGUAAAUCAAACAUUUCUAAAACCAUCAGGACACAAUGAAAGCCUCAAAGAAAGACAAGAAGUUGCCAAGGAGCAAGACUUAAAUGUUUAGGAAUCUUCAGCAAAGCAUCAUCUCUAAAACUUAUAAAGAUCAUAAUUACAACUUUUUUUAAGUCCAAAAGCAUUAACAUAGAUAGUCAAAGGGCUCAAUGAAGGAGUUUCCUCUUCUAUUUACCCUACAGAAGUUUUCGGAUGGGGAUAAGAGCCCGGUAAGGCAAUGCUGCUGAUUAAUCGCAUGGGCCUGGGUACCUCCUCCAGCUUUGUAAGGGCACACCUCUACGGAGUCAAGCUGCACAGCUCUCCCUGUCCUAUGAAGGCAGGGCUUUGAGUCUGCACCCAAGGAAGGAAAAGGACACCACGGAACAGGCUGUCUACGCUGCGGGCUGCUAUGCAAUCAUUCCAUGGAGUCCCCUUCUUUUCAUUCAUAACUCACCCAAGAGUAAAGCACAGAAGGCCCACAAAGCUUAGGCCCUGCAGACAUCCGAUCACCCCAAAGAUUCAAAGACAAGCCAACCUUUACGAAUCGCCCCCAUCCGAGGCGCGCAUAUUAACUGCCAUUAUUAGUGCGCUGGCUGUCUAGUAACAAGUUGAUAAAAUCACGGCCAAGGAAGCGGGAAGACAUCCACCCAGCUAACCAUCCGCAGAAGCUUCAGUUGAGAGUCCCUCCUCCAAAGAGUAGGCACGGCUUAAAGGUCUCCCUAGCCAGUUUCCUUUGGAAUGUAGAUCUCUUUCAUUUGGUCCAAGGUGGAGGUCCUGUCAGUGAGAUACGCCAUCUCCCCAUUUGCAGGUCCUUCGCAUCAGUCUUUGGCCGAGGGACGGGCAGGCGGUAUCCCUCCCACCCUCUGUAAUGUGAAGCAUGCAGCGAGGGCUGCCUUCCAUCGCCACUCCAGGGAACCCCCGAUCCCCACUCCUCGACCAGCUCCGCCUCCUCCCCUGCCUGCUGCUGCUUGUCCAGAGCCCCGCAGAAGGGUCACCGGCGCCCAGGUGAGGCGGACGGCAGGUUCCGGGGAAGAACCCGACGUUGUGCAGCCCUUCAGACAAACCUGGCCGCACCCAAAAAGAACAUGCAUGGAUGGAAAAGCAAAGCCUGCAACCUGAAACGAGCCACCCCAUCCCUCAUCACUUGUCUUUUCAAAGUUGGCAUUCAACAGUUCUUGCACAGGUGUCGCCUAGACAGUUUCUCUGUAUGAAGUCUGCACUGAAGGAGUGGGGAAGACCUUGAGGAUCUUCUGAUGGAGUUCAUCUUUCUGCAGCCCCGGAGACUGUAAUUCAGACACCGCCCCCAAAAGAAGUCUGGAAACUUUGAGUCUCGCCACGUGCAGGCCAGAGGAGUCCAACACCAUUAUCACCCUCUAUGCACAGACUGCUGGCUGCCAAACUAACAUAUCUAAGGCACGUGCUCAAGGGCUCAGAGGUUCCCAGUCACCCAGAAAAUAAACUUUUAAUUCCCUGCCCCUUUUUGGAACAUGCCUUUUCCUUCCUCAUCUAGUCCUCUGAGAAUUGAACCCCUCCUUCAAAAGCCAGAUCCAAUUCCCACUUCCUCCGUGGAGUCUUCCUUCCCUGGCCAGAAUAGCUUUGUUCAGAUAUUUGCAAAUAUUUGGUUAGGAUGAAUCUGCUUCUACUUGCUACCACACCCAAAAUGUUAAAAAGACAAAAAGAAAGAAAGAAAACUCAUUAAGAAUUUUCUUGAGUAAACAACUUACCAAGGUUACAUUUUAAAGCUGAAAAAAAAAAUUUAACGUGCAACAGAAAACACACUUGAAAAAAAUCCACAGAUCUCUAUUACCACAUUUGGACCACCCAGAGCUUCCGCUCAGGAGGGAGGCACCUGGGAAAGCAGGACUCUGGAGGGAGUGGCUUUUUAGUUUCUCCAAAACCGGGCCUAACCAGUGCUGCCUGCAACUGGGCACCAUUGGUCCUGACAAUGACCCCUACAAGGUCUUAUUUUUUUCAUUUAGAUAUAGCGUCUCCCUCUGUCGCACAGGCUGGCGUGCGGUGGUGUGAUCACAGCUCACUGUGCCCAAGUAUCGAACUUCUGUGCCCAAGUAUCCUCCCAGCUUAGCCUCCUGAGUAGCUGGGACUACAGGUGCC
rnacentral:lncRNA from 1 species